rnacentral:lncRNA from 1 species
UCAGUCACAACCCAUUCAUUAGCCCUCCCAUACUCUAAGAGACCUAUAAAUGUUGCCUUGGUACGGUGCAAAGACAUCACAUUCUCAAAGAGGAUCCAAUAGAACAGAAGGUGAAUGGACCUGCCAAAGUUCCACACAUCUUUUAGAAACAAAUUAAUGGACUAACUAUGGCAAAUUGAAAGUGUAAAACAAUAGAAAAUUAAUGAUACCUUGGUGUUCCAACUGAAUUGAGAAUGGUGAUGACAGAAGGAAUAUAAACAGCUCCCCAGAUUGGAACAUGAACCUCUGGGACCAAGAUUGUAAGGGGAAUCACAACACAGUAGAAGAAGAAGGUGACCAUGUGGGCGAUGAUUUUGCGAACAAAGAAAAAGCUGUAUAUAACAUACACUUUCUUCCAA